CAUUGGAAACUUAACACAAAGCACAGAAGUGACACAUUUUAUAAUGGAAACAGUUACUUUGGUGACUUUUCUCUUUGUAGCUACAAUAAGUGGUGUGUGGACAGAGAUCAAACUGGAGCAGCCAUCUUCUUUGGUGAAAAGAGCUGGAGAAAGUGUGAAGAUGUCCUGUGUUACAUCUGGUUUUUCUAUGACAAGCUUCUACAUGCACUGGAUACGACAGAGACCAGGACAAGGGCUCGAGUGGAUCGGCAGAAUGAACGCUGGAAGUAACUCACCAAUUUAUGCCAGUGCCUUUCAACAACGUUUCACUCUGACUGAAAAUGUCCCCAGCAGCACCCAGUACAUGGAGAUCACAGGUCUGACAGCAGAAGACACUGCUGUUUACUACUGUGCCCGACAAGCACAGUGACAGGAAGAGUGCAGCUCAUGUACAAAAACAUCCAACCAAGAGCUGCUGUGCAUGUUCCUCUCAAACACAGGCUGAAAAUUCACACUAAAACAAAUAAGUUAGCAGUUUUUAUUUUUGGUCAAUUUAGUGUCUCAGUCAAACUAUUUUUAUUUAUUUUUCCCCCACAGCGCUUCAUAGUUAGGACGGCCGCCUCGACAACAAUUGCCCCCCACCUUGACGACGUCCUUCCGAACCACGUGAAAACUAAAGUCGCACUCCCCCAUUCCUCCUGGCUGCAUGGA